GCAGCUUGGCCAAUUACACGGAAUUCGCAAUUAUUAUAUUUCCUGAUGCUCGCAAUGUAUAGUGGUCAAAUAGGAUUAUUUUCUUCGCGAGACCUUUUAAUUUUUAUCAUGUGGGAGUUAGAAUUAAUUCCUAUUUACUUACUUUUAUCCAUGUGGGGGGGGAAGAGGUGUCUAUAUUCAGCUACAGAGUUUAUUUUGUAUACUGCAGGUGGUUCCAUAUUUUUCUUAAUCAGAGUUCUGGGUAUGGGCUUAUAUGGUUCCAAUGAACCAGGAUUAGAUUUGGAAAGAUUAAUUAAUCAAUCAUACCCUGCAACCUUGGAAAUACUUUUAUAUUUUGGCUUCCUUAUUGCUUAUGCUGUCAAAUUGCCGAUUAUACCCCUACAUAUGUGGCUACCAGAUACCCAUGGGGAAGCACAUUAUAGUAAAUCACGAAUUACAAAUAGCUGA
rnacentral:rRNA from 1 species